rnacentral:rRNA from 1 species
GACGAACGCUGGCGGCGUGCCUAAUACAUGCAAGUCGAGCGGACGAAUCGAAAGCUUGCUUUUGAUUCGUUAGCGGCGGACGGGUGAGUAACACGUGGGCAACCUGCCCUGUAGACGGGGAUAACACCGAGAAAUCGGUGCUAAUACCGGAUAACACGAAAUGUCGCAUGACGUUUCGUUGAAAGACGGCGCAAGCUGUCGCUACAGGAGGUGCCCGCGGCGCAUUAGCUAGUUGGUGAGGUAACGGCUCACCAAGGCGACGAUGCGUAGCCGACCUGAGAGGGUGAUCGGCCACACUGGGACUGAGACACGGCCCAGACUCCUACGGGAGGCAGCAGUAGGGAAUCUUCCGCAAUGGACGAAAGUCUGACGGAGCAACGCCGCGUGAGCGAAGAAGGCCUUCGGGUCGUAAAGCUCUGUUGUUAGGGAAGAACAAGUAACGCAGUAACUGGCGUUACCGUGACGGUACCUAACGAGAAAGCAACGGCUAACUACGUG